AUUAUUUAUUUUAAAAACUUUCAUACUAUAUAUUAAAUGUCAUGGAUUAUUUAAAUAUUAUAAGAAGAUAAGUAUGAUUGUUUAAAUAUUAAUAAUAUUAUUUAAAAAGAUAAAAAGGCCAAUAUAGCAAAAGCCAAUAUAUGCCGUGGAACUUCCUCCAUCCAAACUCGCUCAGAUGCCUCAACUCUUCCCAUUUGAGCCAAUUCAUAGGCUAAGCUAUUACCUGUCUUCCCAACAUGAGUGAAAAUUUGCUAACAGUCUUUCGCAUCCGCGAUGACAGGGGAGAUUGCAGACCGGUCAGACAACGUACUCCAAAGCUUCUUCAAGACGGUAAGAAAAUCACCUUCGAGAAUAAUAUGUUGCAAACCCACAUAGUGCUCGCAGGCUUGCCGAACCUUCCACAACAGAAAGGGAUGCUGCAUGCAAAACCGGGCUGGCCGCCAAUACAAGAACCUCGUCAAACUCAAUGCGUGCAACAACACCCAACCCAUACCAUCAAAAUUUAAUUUAACGAUCCCAGAAGGUGGUGGAUACCAUUCGCAGAUAGAAUGGGACCGUCAAGUGUGAGGCGGCAGAGUAAUCCAACAGUGAAGGAACCACCCCUGGAUAGAGAAUAGAAGGUGAAAACAUUAGUGAACUAAGGGAUUAUUUCAAGGAAAGGAACUGCAAAUCUAUCUAAUUUUACCUCUGGUAUUUGCUUUUAUUAAAAUUUAAAAAUAUAAAAUUCUGUUGUAAUGAAAUCAAAUGGGCAGUGAACUAGAAGAUGAAAACAUUGGUGAAUUAAGGGAUUAUUACAAGGAAAGGAACUGCUAAAUAUCCCAUCUAAUUUUACCUCUGCUA